AUGAUUACGGAGGAGGCAGCAAAGCAGCGGGGCUUCAAGUGGCAGAAUGUACUUGUACUUGUACCUGUGUACAAGUACAUCCAGGAGGUAUGGAGGAAGAAGCAGUGUGAUAUCAUGCGCUUUCUUCUGAGGGUCCACUGUUGGCAGUAAUGCCAGCUCUCUGCUCUCCACAGGGCUUCUGCCCCACCUGGCCUGAUAAAGCACGAUGACUGGGCUGCAAGGUCAAGCAAGGUUACCUUACUUAUAGGGUUCAUAUUCGUCGUGGUGGCCAAAAAUGCCAAGUUCCUAAGAGUGCAACUUAAGGCAAGCCUGUCCAUUAUGGUGUUAACAAGCUAAAGUUUUCUCAAGCCUUCAGUCUGUUACAGAGGAGUGAGCUGGACACCAUUGCGGGGCUCUGAGAGUCCUGAAUUCUUACUGGGUUGGUAAAGGUUCCACAUACAAUUUUUUUUGAGGCUAUCCUCAUUGAUCCAUUCCAUAAAACUAUCAGAAGAAAUUCUGAUACCCAAUGGAUCACCAAACCAGUCCACAGGCACAGGGAGAUGUGUGGGCUUGACAUCUGCAGGUCAAAAGAGCCAUGACCUUGGAAAGAGCCAUGAGUUCCACCAUUUGAUUUGUGGUCCUCGCCGGGCAGCUUGGAAAAGGCACAAUGCUCUCCAGCUCCACCAUUAUAGCUAAUAUAAGUAAAGCUUGUAAAAUUCAUACCUAAUAAAUAAUUUAGGACAGUGAAUCAUGUCUGCUUACAGGUGUUAUUUGUCUAUUAAAACUAGUCUGCAGAUUGUUUCAUGAAUGCUUUGUCAAAUUAAGAAAGCUGAAGUGCAAUAAUGUUUGAAGACAAUAAGUGAUGGUGUAUCAUGUUUCUAAUAAGAUGAACUUUUUUGUCUUUGCUUCAUCUUAUUUGGGAGUUAUAUUUCAGUGUAUAAAACAUACUGUGUGGUAUAAUAGGUUUAAAAUAAAUUCUUUAAAAG